CCAAUAUUAUAUAACAAGAUGUUUUAUUGACACUGAGUUUAUAACUCUUUAAGACAAAAUUAGAAGUGGACCAAUAACAAAAUGUUCAUCCAAACAAAGGAAAAAUGCCUGCCAAAAUUGUAUAUUUAUUACUACGGUUAAGCCUAUUUAGGUAGUUCAAAUCAAAUACAAGAGAACACAUCAGGUCAUCAUAUUUUUUUUUCACUGUUAAAAUGAGGUAUUCUGGCUUUACAAUGUUGUAAGUUGAAGUAAGCAGUUUAAUCAAAGUUACAAGAAAGAAGACGAGAUAUAUACUUGGACAAUUAUUUCCUAGGGGUAAAAAGCCAAGUGAAAUGUGUAUGAAUAAGAUAAUUAAGCCACAGAAUACAUUUCAGAAUAUCGAGAAGCUUAUGUGCAAAAUUUUAAUUCUAACCUUAAAAUUGGUAUACUUUAUUAUUAUUAUCAUUUUACUUAGCAAACAACAUGCACCAUACUGUAAAACGAGCAAUACAGGACAAAAUAGCAUAUCUAUUAGAGCAUUUAUCAGGUUCACGUAUCAUCUGAAUUGACCAAGACUUAUUUUCACUAUGACAAUUUGUGUAUUUUUCUAAUUGCUCAUCAGUGAGGUUAAGUAGUACAGUUGGCAUAUACACACAAAGAAUGCAUACACAAUCUGUAUUUAAUACUUAUUAUUAUAUUGGGGUAUAAGUUACUAAGUAUAAUAGCAGCAAGGUACCACUAUUUCUAGAACAUGUUCUAAGACUUAUAUUGAGACUGUAGAUUCACGCCUGAAGUGUUAUUAGUGCUAUAAACUAAUAACAAAUGUAAAAUUGCAAAUGUACAGAGCUACCAAAGGCCUAUUUGACUUUUCAAAGUGCUGUGCUUCUUGUUGGGCUUAAUGUUUGUGAGCAAGCCCCUGCUAUUUGAAUUAAGUAUUGGUCCCAAGUUCUGGGCUCCAAUCAGGUAUAGUUCUAAUGAUUGGAUGUAGGUUGAGGGGUAGAAUAAUGCAUUUGAAAAGAGUAAGAAGCAAUAACCACUGUGAUAAGAGUGUAUUGGACAUCACUGAACACAUGUGCCUAUCACUGUAAGCUUUGCCAGCAUCCUGUGGUUAGCAAUAAUCAGCAGAUGAUGGAGAAUGGCCAGGAGACAAAAGGAAAAAGUAGUAUUCUAUGAAGGAGACGGGAAGGAAUGACACAGAAUAUGCCUCUAGACUGUUGAUGGGCUUGCCUCGGCCAAUGGUGAGCCUGAAUUCCCCCCAAAUGUAAGGGUAAAUAUUUAUCUAAUCUAUUCGGCUUAGAAAUGAGUUUGAAAAGUCCUAAAAAGUUUUGUUGGAGAAUAUAAUAGAAUACUAUAUCCACUGCAGGGUAGAAAGAAUUUUCUUGAAUUAUUUGUAUAGUGUCUAAGACUGUGAUAUUUUGAGAAAAUCAAUCGCAUUUUGUGGUGUAUUCUUCUGGGUUAGGGCCUGUUUAGGGUUAUAGUGCUAUUGGAGUCCUUGUUUCUAGAAGGAAACUGGGGAAUCCAGAAGCUACGGAGAGCGUCCCUUGGGGUAGUAAUGAGCUGUUUGGUAUCAUUUGAAAUUAAGGGUAAAGUUUCUAGCUAAAUUACUUAUCACUCAAACAGUUCACUCUGUGUGUCCCAAGGCAAUGGUUGUAAGUGACAACGCUAUGGUGCCAAACACCAGGGAGCAGCCAGAGGCAGAGGGCCAAGAUAUCCUGGAACAUUAGUGGAACUCAGAAGACAACCAUGUUCUAUGCUAUGCAAAAGAAACUUCCUGUCAGUUUGGAUAUUUGAUGCUAUCAUUUCUAUUCACUUCCUCUUGGCAUAACAAGUCUACUUAGCAUGUAUUGGGAAAGCCCACCUCUCAAGAGUCCACAUACAUGUUGGCAGAUUUCUUUGAGCUCUACACAUUUCAUUAUAUGGAUCAUCAAAGGUGCCAUUCCUAGGUAAGUUCUGCCAUCCUACAUCACACUGUUGGGAAAUAAGCCCAAGCAGCUUUUCCACCCAAGCCACAGAAGGAAGAAUAGCAUAUCUGCACACCCCCUGAGUAUAAGGCAUUUAAUCUAAUCAUUAGGGACCUUAUGAUUUGGGGAGCUAAUCAACCAAGAUUUGCAAAUCAGUCAGCACUGAAGUAGCAGACAGCAUCUUCAAAGAUGAAGGAACCAAGAAAGAUUUAGCACAGGAUCACAUGCUCAGCUAACGGAGCGGAGUCUCAUGGCUGUGCUCCAAUCAUUAGCCCACUCUGUUUCUUAGAAUCUAACAGUAAAAAUUUGAAAUUAGCUACUAAGAAACACCACACAAACUUCAACUGUGGCAUGAACUAAAUCUGCAGGAUGGACUGGUUUCAUGUAGCUCUUUCACUUCCCAGGAAGAAGUAGUUUCAUUUCCAUCUGAAUUUCUUCUGUUGCUCCACCUUUAGCAUUGUGCUAAGCCUCCUAGCUGGGAGGUAGUAAUGUCUCAUUGGGAAGCACUUUCUCAUGGCAAGAUUCUCAAAACGAGAGAUGGAAAGUCCCGCCACACCAUAAAACUGCAUUUAAUUCCAGAAUACUCUACUAUGUUGUCUUAUUGAGAAGAAACAAUUUUUUUGGAUGAAUAUGAGAUCAUGUAAAAAGAACUAGGAUUCCUAAGAUGGAUCAUUACCUGGGCUCAGAUUUUGUGCUUUUCUUUGAGUUUAUAAUAAAAUCCUGGGACUGUGGCUUAACUGCUCUCAGUAAUUCAGGGUUUAGAUUCAGUGCUAAGGAAAAUGACUAAAAGUAAUUACUAUUGAGUUUAAUACAGCAAACACAAAAACUUUUUUUGGCAUGACCCUCUUGGAGGUCUGCCACUAAUUUAAAAUUUAAUCUUCAAUAACUUAUUCCCUUCCAUUAAGUCCAUCUCGACCUCUCUCUCCAAUCCUUCUGUAUCCAUGAAAUCAUGGUGGUAUCUCUAAAAGGCUCAAAGUUCAAGCCUGUAAACACUACUCUAACCGAACUAAAACCUUUGAUGGUCCCCUUUGCCACAAAGCCAUGGAAAUGUGGCUGUGUGGGAAAUGGUCCAGGGAGCUCAUGAAUAGCUCAGUUAUAUUUCAGAAUAAAUAUGACCUAAAAUUCUGUGAAACUAAAGUCCUCUUUGGCUCAAUCAAGUAGCUUCUUAGCUGAUCUUGAAGUUAGUUCUGAGCAAGUAUGAGAGCCUUGUUUUGAUCUGAAAGGUCUCCAGAACUUGUGAGAAUAAGUGAUGUGGUUGGGUCACUAUUUUAUUGUUGGCAGUUGCAGAAUGAGUCAUGAACCUAAAAUCUGUUUUCCCUCUGUCCCACAUGCCUGAGUUCUCCUGUCUGGUCUCAUGGUCAAGGAGCAGAAGGCACACAUCCUUUACAAUAUGUUAAGCAACUUUUUCUUGAGGCAGAGAUUCUGCUGAUGCCAGGGUGUUUAUCAAGGGAAAAUUGUAAAUAAUCCUCCUAUCUCCCAGAACUCUUGUGCAGACUUUCAAAUUGCAAGCAAGGCUGGCAGCUCCAAGCAGCAUGAAGGAGUGAGCACCUGCACGCACCACGCAGGGCAGGACUCCAUGCAUGCAACCUUGGUACAGUUUUCUGGGCUUUUGUGUCAUGCUUGAUGACAUUUAUCAUGCAAACACUGAGGUGCACUUAAAUGUUACAACCCAAGUGAAGUGCAACCAUAUAUUUAAGAACUAAAGGACAAAAUCAUGUAAACAUUUCAUGGAACAGUCAGCAGCCCUUGGGUGUUACUGGCAUCCUAUGUAGAUACUUGUCAACACACCUGGCCUCAUAGCACCAAACAGCUGGACAAAGCCGAGGCUCAAAUAAAACAGAGAACAGUAAUUCUCCUCUUGCCUCCUUAUCUCUUUGCCAAGUAACAAAGGGUAAAAAGUGGGGAAAUGAUGUAGCCCCUAGCAAUUGACCAAAAAUUAAAAACAAAAGCAAAAUGAAAUAACAACAAAAAUAAAACCCUGAGGGUAGACCAGGGAUUUCAGAGCUUGUCGUUAGCAUUUAGCAUCAGAAUUGAAGGAAAGUUUAGAAAGCGAGAGAACACACUUACUUACUCUUAUCCAGAGAAGGCCCUACAGAAUUUGACAUUAUCCCAGAAAACCCUUUGGGGAGGGGUUCAAAUGCAAAAAAAGGAAAGUUCAACCAGAUUUUCCCAGAGGCAUUUCUAUUAUGACCUCCUCAAGGGUGCAAGCUAAAAGCCAGGGCUUAAAUUGUUUUACAGAACGUAUAGGGUGGAAGACCAAGAGUUGGGGGUGUGCAUGUGCUUUUAGUACCUCACCUAGGACACCCCUAUCUGCAAGCAACAUGCAAAAUCCAUCUAUGGGCAUCAAAAGACAGAAACAGGAAACUGCUGGAAGAAGAGUCUGACAAUCUUUAUAAAUGCAUACAUCCAUUCGGGACUCCAUGUUUAUAUUUCCUUCUUAAGAAUCCAGAAGCUGCCACUUCCUUAGGGAUUCUCAGAUGGUGCUGAGGAGCAACAAAGUGCACACAUUUCCAUGCCUAGUUUUCUUUCUAGAGCCUUUCUUUUCAACACUCUUCCGGAGGGUCUACUUAUGAACUAAUAGCUCUUCACGACCCAUUUUAUCUUCGUUCAUGGGCAUGACUUGGUAGUGACUUCUCAGAUCUAGACCACAUCCACACAUGUAUACUGUCCCCAGGAGGACUGGGGGAGCCAGGACAUGAACAGCAGAGUCAGGAAUCACUCACAGCCCUGAGAUGCGUGGUCCUGUUCAGGAGAGAAAGACCAUAGCAGCAUCUAUCCUGGGUAAGAAAAGUUCAGUAAGCUCCUGUGUGAGUGCUCUUGAUGUAAGAAGCACGGCAGAUAUUUAAUCUAUAAAUAAAUAAAUAAAUAAAUAAGUCAAUCAAAACACAAGAGGGCUCUUUAUAGAUAAGCACCUCUUAUCAAUAAAAAAAAAAUCCCCUCUUGAGUUUCAAAGCCCUCAUGCAGUAGUGAUUGGUAGGCUCAAAACAACCUGCAGAAAGUAGAACCAUCAAGAGAAGGACUGGAAAUGUUCCAACACUAGGUAUUUCUCACUUGGUGACACACGAGUCAUCCUAAAUAUCCCCGAGGUAGUCUUGUUUUCAAGGAGUUAUAGAAUGCCUCCAAAUCCACUUGGAGCUUCCUCCUUUAAUGCCAUUGCACUUUCCCAUGCAUCCUGCGCCUGCUUCCAUGGUGCCAUGGAUAAGGGGACUUUGCCAAAAUGAUGCAGGUGCUCUACCUGGC
rnacentral:lncRNA from 1 species